GUUUUUUUAGGGGAGUCGGUGGAAGGCUGGUUACACCGUUUGGUUUUCGACCACUACGACCCGGGUUCGAUUCCCGCAUUGGACA
rnacentral:tRNA from 1 species